CUUUAUCAUCUGUUUGACCUGCAUGCCAGGGGAAAAGGCAUGCACGGGCAGUCGAUGAAGUUGCAGAAUACGGAAGCAAGCGUCGUCGGUUCUUGGAUCAUGAGAUAUCAUGAAUGGCUGUUUAUUUGAAGGUGUUUCAGACGAACGUCUUGCCUGCUGCUAAAUAUGUUGUUCUUGCAGUGUGGACCCAGUGGAAAAUGUAACUUGUAACAUGGGGCACCAACUGUAUUUUGCAACCUUUUGUCCCUCGCUCACUAAAUUGGUUGCCUUGUAGGAACAUUUAGAUAUGACUUCUAAUGAGAUUUUCUUUCUUAUAAGAUUAGAAAAUCUGAAUAGGUGUUUUUGAUGAGAUCAUUCUUAAGACUAGGAGCAGCCAACUAUUUCAUUUAGAUAGGACUUCUAAUGAGAUUUUCUUAAAAGUUAGGACAUCUGGGUAGUUUGUUUUUUAUGAGAAAUUUUUUGAAGACUAGGAGCAGUCUGCUAUUUUCUUUAGAUAUGGCUUCUAAUGAGAAUCUUCUAAAAAUUAGGACAUCUGGGUAGGUCCCUUUAAUGAGACAUUUAUCAAAGACUAGGAGCAGUCCACUGUGCUGAUCAGGCAUGUGGUUAAAUUGCUGAUCUAGCAUGAAAUAGUGGUCAGAAGUUACUUGUAUGAUCUGGAAAUGAAGCUCUGUUCCUCGUGCCGACGAGGAAAUUUAAAUGAUUCA